rnacentral:rRNA from 1 species
CUGCGAAUGGCUCAUUAUAUAAGUUAUCGUUUAUUUGAUAGUACCUUACUACUUGGAUAACCGUGGUAAUUCUAGAGCUAAUACAUGCUAAAAAUCCCGACUUCGGAAGGGAUGUAUUUAUUAGAUUAAAAACCAAUGCCCUCUGGGCUCUCUGGUGAUUCAUAAUAACUUCUCGAAUCGCAUGGCCUUGCGCCGGCGAUGGUUCAUUCAAAUUUCUUCCCUAUCAACUUUCGAUGUUUGGGUAGUGGCCAAACAUGGUUGCAACGGGUAACGGAGGGUUAGGGCUCGACCCCGGAGAAGGAGCCUGAGAAACGGCUACUACAUCCAAGGAAGGCAGCAGGCGCGCAAAUUACCCAAUCCCGAUUCGGGGAGGUAGUGACAAUAAAUACUGAUACAGGGCUCUUUUGGGUCUUGUAAUUGGAAUGAGUACAAUUUAAAUCCCUUAACGAGGAACAAUUGGAGGGCAAGUCUGGUGCCAGCAGCCGCGGUAAUUCCAGCUCCAAUAGCGUAUAUUAAAGUUGUUGUGGUUAAAAAGCUCGUAGUUGAACCUUGGGCCUGGCUGGCCGGUCCGCCUCACCGCGUGUACUGGUCCGGCCGGGCCUUUCCCUCUGUGGAACCCCAUGCCCUUCACUGGGUGUGGCGGGGAAACAGGACUUUUACUUUGAAAAAAUUAGAGUGCUCCAGGCAGGCCUAUGCUCGAAUACAUUAGCAUGGAAUAAUGAAAUAGGACGUGCGGUUCUAUUUUGUUGGUUUCUAGGACCGCCGUAAUGAUUAAUAGGGACAGUCGGGGGCAUCAGUAUUCAAUUGUCAGAGGUGAAAUUCUUGGAUUUAUUGAAGACUAACUACUGCGAAAGCAUUUGCCAAGGAUGUUUUCAUUAAUCAGGAACGAAAGUUAGGGGAUCGAAGACGAUCAGAUACCGUCGUAGUCUUAACCAUAAACUAUGCCGACUAGGGAUCGGACGAUGUAAUUUUUGACUCG